AUAUUUUUGAUAAACAAAAUGAAAUGUCUCUCCGGCCCCUCCAGCAGACGUGCAUGAUUGAAUGUUGUAAAAAAAAAAAAAUAAACAAUGUUUUGUACAUCUUUACUACUAACAACAAUUAUUUAAAAUUAGUUUAUUUUUAAUGAUGAUAAUAAGUUAAGUUAAUCAUAAAUUUUGGAGAUCAACAUGUAUCAAGGCAUGGUCACCUGCAAAAUAACACUGAUUCAACAAUGUAGUACAGUUGAAUCCCGCUGAUCCGAACUGGGAUUAUUUCAAAUUCCCAGUUAUUUUGAACUCUGGACCAUUUCCCUUGGAUUUGCCUUUCAGUCGUACUAUCUGCUCUUUCAAACUCCCGCUGUAUAUUUCAAACUAUUUUUUCAUUUUCCCUGUGAGUUCCAAAUAGCAGGGUUCAACUGUAAUUCAUUGUUGAUUAAAUGGUAAUUAAAAGCAGAUUUGUGGCUAGGACUCAAGAGAGGGUAACUAGAGCUACCUAAAAUUUGCAGGUUCAAGUUAACUGGCCUGCAAAUAAUAGUCUCCUCCCAGUCUCAAUGGUCCUGGACACUACAGUGUUUGUGAGAGAUCAUCUCGGCCAUAAUUGUGCUGAACGCUCAAAGUAUAAGAGAUCGUUUUUGUUUACUCUAUCAUUGCAGCUCUGUUUAGUUUUAUUAUCGUUUCAUUGUUCAUGCCCUUUAAUCAUUAAUCAGAGCGUUUUAUAUCAUGUGAUUUAGCUAUCAAUUUACUUUAAAAGCCAGUCGCUUACAUAACCCACGCAGUCAUCUCAGUAUCGGGGUCAUCCGAGUGUUUAGGAGUCAGGAGUUUGAGUUAUUUUCUUGGAGUCUAUGUGUUUACCUCGCUAACGCAGGAUCAGACUUUUCACCGCACGUGUACGAUAGCUGAUUCAUUAAAGUAAUUUAAAAAUCAAGUUUUGUACGCUGUGGUUGACGCUUACCGUUCCCCAUGUACUUGGGUACGCGACAAUAAUCUAUUGUUU